rnacentral:lncRNA from 1 species
AAGAGGCACCUUUCUGCCUACAACACAGGCCCUUUCAUCAGCUGACCACAGGAGGGGUGCUCCAUGGAGCCCCAGGGCCACAGGCAUCUCCAUUUCAGAAGAGGAGUUCUGCCCUACAGGCUCAGGUUGCCUCCAGCUAAACACAAAUGUGGGGGCUGGAGAAAGGCCUGGAGAGCUCCCAGCGCCCUCUGAGACAUGGCUCCAGGUCACACAGCCCAAAGCCUUGGCCUGUUUUGUACGUGGACGGGGCAAAGAGAACACCCUCGCCGCUUCUCUCUGCCUUUAGCAGGGCUGUAGGAAACCCCCACCAGAGACCUCCAGCUUGGAGAGGAAAGAGUGGAACAGCCCUCUGGAAGCAAGUUACCCACAGGUUUAGUUUGCCUGGAGAGAAACAGGCCGGAGAGAGACUGCGGCCUCCCUAGGGUCUUCUGACGGCAAAUUCCUCCAGCUCAGUGGCUGCUGGGCAGCAGCACAGCCGGUUUCUCUCAAGGGCACACCCCACACACCGCGUCACUGUGCACUAGCCUCAGAUGACAGACAAGCCUUUCACAAGACUUUUGUGGCACUGUUCAUUUCUGAGACCUUCUCUAUGAUGAGCUCAAACUGCUUACCUCAGAGAAGAAACUGCGUGCACAGAAAGCUGCUGAGGCCAGCUUGGGGCCCCUUCUUUCCUGUCCCUGGGCACUUCCCUGGCUGCUCUCUUUCCCCACUGCCCAGCCCAAGGAGUCCCCUCUGCAGCUGACCCGGGUUCAGCCUCCAGAACAGCGAGUUCCACAGCCCUGAAGCCUGGCCAUCGUCCCUUUUCUGGACACUGGACUGGUUCAUAGGGCUCAGUGCCCUGCGGCUUUCUCCUCCCCACCACAGGCCUGGGAGGGGCAAGAAGCACCAGUUUGUUUUCUGGGUCAGCCUGCAGCAAAGAGCGACUGCCCUCACCGACAAGCUGAGCCUCUCUCCCAGCAGCACCCCCACAGUAGCCAGCAGGGGACCCUGGAGGAUCGUGGAGCUGGAUCACCACCCAGAAGACAUGAAUUCCUCUUGUCCAGAGGCAGAACAACAGCAACAGCAGCCACUUAUGCUCCUGUAGUUUCCAGAGCACCUUGCUUAAUCGGAAGUAGGAUGUUACACUCCAGAGACUACUGAUUUACAUAUCACACAUGUGCUCAUCCAUCCAUUCACCAAACCUCUGUUGACUGCUCGCGCUGCCCUGCGUUCCUGGCACUGUGCAGGGUUAUAAUCUAGUAGGAAAGACCUGACAAGGUCACAGAUGUCAGUACUGAAAGGAAGAGUAGGGUAGAUGGCCACCCCACCCCCACCCCAACCUCAAAAAAGAGACUAAAAAAUUACUGUCACUUGUGUAAUUCAUCAACAAACUUUACUGAGCACCUAAUAGGCACUGAGUGUUUUCGUGUAUUGAUCACGCAUUGAUCCUCACAAUAACCUUUGAGAUGGGUUGUGCCAUUUACACAGGGCGAAGAAGAGAGACUGGCCACUGUCACACAGCUACUGAUAUCCAAGCUGAGAUCCAAAGCUCCUCUGCUUCUCCUGAUGAGAAUGAGCACCACAGGCAGGCCACAGAAAAACACCCAGGAGAGCCAAACUCAGACCCACCCCAGAUUUCCCACCCCACCCUCCACUGGCUCCAACC